rnacentral:rRNA from 1 species
CGCCAGACUCCUACGGGAGGCAGCAGUGGGGAAUAUUGCACAAUGGGGGAAACCCUGAUGCAGCGACGCCGCGUGAGUGAAGAAGUAUUUCGGUAUGUAAAGCUCUCUCAGCAGGGAAGAGAAUGACGGUACCUGAGUAAGAAGCCCCGGCUAACUACGUGCCAGCAGCCGCGGUAAUACGUAGGGGGCAAGCGUUAUCCGGAUUUACUGGGUGUAAAGGGAGCGUAGACGACUAUGCAAGUCUGGAGUGAAAGACGGGGGGCCAACCCCCGGACUGCUCUGUAGACUGUAGAGCUAGAGUGCAGGAGAGGUAAGUGGAAUUCCUAGUGUAGCGGUGAAAUGCGUAGAUAUUAGGAGGAGCACCAGUGGCGAAGGCGGCUUACUGG